rnacentral:tRNA from 1 species
UGGCUCAGACGGUAAAGCGUCUGCCUGCAAUGCAGGAGACUCGGGUUCAAUCCCUGG